AGAGAGAAUCAGCUGAGCGGCAAAACAAAAUAGUGAAAACACAUCCACGCACUGCACACCCGACGUUCACAAAAAGUAACGUUUCUCUGUAACAUAAUUGUUCUUCAGUGACCCUGACCCUGACCUGGCCCUGCUGUACUGUGGCCUCUCCACUCUUAAGUGAGGAGGCUGCCCCGCCACGAUGGCUGAUGGAUUGCUGUCACUGUCGUGGAACAAUCACAUGUCCACCUUUUCCCACAUGCUGUCAGAUGUUCGGGAUGUGGCAAGGUAUACAGACGUGACACUAGCUUGUGAUGGAAAAUUUUAUCCAGCUCAUAAACUGGUGUUAUCAACUUGUAGUGACUAUUUCCUAAAGAUGUUUGAAAUCACAUCAUGUAAACACCCAGUAAUUAUUAUCAGGGAUGUGAAGUCUAAGAACAUGGAAGCAUUACUUAAUUACAUGUAUGCUGGUGUUGUGAAUGUAAGUCAGAGUGACCUGCCACAGCUUAUCAAGGCUGCUGAGUUGUUGGAAAUCAAAGGCUUGGCUGUGGCAGAUGAACCUCCCAGUGACAGCAAAAGACCAGCACAGACCAUAGACACUCCUGUGGAUCGCAGCAGCCCAAACCCAAAGCGACCCAAACAAGAUGAAAAGAGGCUGCCAGAUCAGGCAGAAAUGCUCAUUAAUUCUCCUACUCCACCUCAGUCAUCUCCUCUGAGGAAAGAUGACAAUCUGGAUGAGCAAGCAAAUGCUCAUGAUGUUUAUGAAAAUGUGAACCAGAAACAAAUUCAAAGUGAACUUAAUCAAGAUAGAAAAGAUACAAGUUGCAGCAGAUCUGAGCAGCUAGACAGCGAACAUGGUUCAGACCAGUUGAUCCUCGCAAGACAGGUGGCAAGUGAGAUUGGCAUCAAGGAGGAGAAAAUUGACUUGGAAAAUGAAAAGGAGGCUGCAGACAUGGGGUAUGAAUAUGAUUCUUUGAUGACUGACCUUAUCGGGGAGGAAGGAGGAGGCCCCAAAGAACACAGUGCAUCCAUGGAACCCUUUAACCACUCCUUAAAUGAAGAGUCAUAUAGUUCUGAAGCAGGACCUUCUGGGUUGCAAGUGUGGCCAGUCCUUGGUGAAGGUGCAGAAUCAGCUGGUCAGGGUUACACUGGAGGUCUGCCCGUAGGAAAUCACUCCGGGCUGCAAUCACUUCAAAUGGAUCACAUGAUGAGGAAAGUUACUGAUGGUGAACAUACUGUGAGAGGACAAGUCUUGGGAGAAAUGAACAACUUUGCAACUCCAUACAAGAGAUAUCUCUGUUCUUUCUGUGAUUAUGCAACAAAUAAUGCUACCUGUCACAAGCGGCAUGUGCGCACUCACACUGGUGAGAAGCCUUUCCACUGCCCCUACUGCCCUGCAAAGUGCACUCGCAAAGCCACGCUGCUCGCCCACAUACAGUGUCACACAGGGGAGACGCCUCUUAUGUGUUCACAUUGUCCUUAUGUUUCAAGGCAAAAAAGUAAUCUUAAUAGACACAUUAAAAGAUAUCAUAGAAAUUUAUGAAAUGACCAGUUUAUGAUAAGUAACAUUCAGUUCAGAUUGAAGAGCCUGUGAAAUACAAUAAUCAUUUCACUGUACGUAUCACUAAUUUUAUGACUCUGAUGUAUUGCAAUACAGUAAACCCUGAGUAUAUCAAUCUAAUUUGGGGAAGACGAUAAAGGAAAAUAUUAGAAAAAAUGGCAGUUAGAUUUCUCCUCACACAGCCAACUUUGUUUGGUAAAUGAGAUGGAAGUUCGGUAUACCAAAGUAAACCUCAAAUAAUAUUAAUUUUGGUGACUCAUGGAUUGGCUCUAAAUUAUACAGCUUAUACUUUAUUUUGGUUUGAAUAAAACAACAGAUCUUAUGGAAAAAUGCUUUUACUGUGCUCAAAUAAACAAGAACACAUGUGAAAACAAAUAAUUAAAUUUAAAUACAUACUAUACAUACAUACAUAAGUACAUACUAACACAUCAACAUUCCACUUCAACUGUUGCUGUGAGACUAAGGCAUAGGCAGCAUGUGCAGGUAUGGUGUGUAUGUUCACCAACACCACCACCACCACCACCACUCACACUGUCCUUAUCUUCUUCCUACCUUCACUCACUCUCGUGCUGUUGUUGUCACUCACCAAAUGGUCUCCCUCAUAUACUGACUUUUAUUCAGUAAAUCAGAUGGAUGGUUGGUGGGCCAUAGUAUGUUUGAUAAAUACAAAAUUCUGUAUAAUAAGGUUUGAAAUAAUGAUGGUUUACUGUAUACUGAAAAUACUUUCAUAGCUUUUUCCUCACAAAGUUUCAUUGUGAAAAAUAUGUGAUAGUAAUAUUUAUCUCAAUAACAAUAAUGUUACCUCAGUAUUUUCAGUUUGACUGCUUGCGUUUGAUUGUCAGAACCUGUUAUUGGAAUAUUGCAUUUAGUUACUGUUCAUUUAUUUUAAUGCCAAAGUGAUGUAAUGGUUCAGCUGUCUAUUCAGACAUGCAGACAUAGAUACAAAUUACUGAAGUAAAAUUAGACUUCUUUAUAUACUUUUUUGGGGGGAAUAUGUCAUUCUGUUAAACAUUUCAUAAGAAGCAGCAUAUUUUUUUUAUUCAUGAUGGUGUAUGAUUUGACUUUUGUGUGUAAGGGAGUCAGCCUAAUCAGAUUGAUAUUAGGUGCCCUUAGAUUUUGAGCUUUAAAGACAGCCAUGAUGGCCAGCUCUUCAAGUUUGCACCUUGCUUUCUGGCACCCAGUGCUAAGUCUCCAACUCUACACUGUGAAGCACCUUGGGUGCUUCUUACACGGAAGCUACCAAAGGAGUGUCGGCACAUCAGACAAGUGGGGCUGUCACCCACAUCGAUUGUUGCUGGCAUAAGUGAAAGGUGGGGGCUGAAAGUGAGUGCCAGUGGGUGGCACGAGGCGUGGCUCAAGGACCAGCAUUCAGCUUCAGUUCCCGGAGCAGCAAGAAGCACCACCUCAGGAAGGUUCACCAGUGUCCAUUUUGUAGCUA
rnacentral:misc_RNA from 1 species